rnacentral:rRNA from 1 species
AGUGAACGCUGGCGGUAGGCCUAACACAUGCAAGUCGAACGGCAGCACAGUAAGAGCUUGCUCUUACGGGUGGCGAGUGGCGGGCGGGUGAGGAAUACAUCGGAAUCUACUUUUUCGUGGGGGAUAACGUAGGGAAACUUACGCUAAUACAGCAUACGACCUACGGGUGAAAGCAGGGGAUCUUCGGACCUUGCGCGAUUGAAUGAGCCGAUGUCGGAUUAGCUAGUUGGCGGGGUAAAGGCCCACCAAGGCGACGAUCCGUAGCUGGUCUGAGAGGAUGAUCAGCCACACUGGAACUGAGACACGGUCCAGACUCCUACGGGAGGCAGCAGUGGGGAAUAUUGGACAAUGGGCGCAAGCCUGAUCCAGCCAUACCGCGUGGGUGAAGAAGGCCUUCGGGUUGUAAAGCCCUGUUGUUGGGAAAGAAAAGCAGCAGGUUAAUACCCCGCUGUUCUGACGGUACCCAAAGAAUAAGCACCGGCUAACUUCGUG